UGUAGCUAACCCAGACAUCACUACGUGACUUCGAAUCCAUGCUUCUCUCUCUUCUCACGUCUAUACUUUGGCCUGCAUGCUGUAGAAAGC